GAUGAACGCUGGCGGCGCGCCUAAUACAUGCAAGUCGAGCGAACAGAUAAGGAGCUUGCUCCUUUGACGUUAGCGGCGGACGGGUGAGUAACACGUGGAUAACCUACCUAUAAGACUGGGAUAACUUCGGGAAACCGGAGCUAAUACCGGAUAACAUAUUGAACCGCAUGGUUCAAUAGUGAAAGGCGGUUUUGCUGUCACUUAUAGAUGGAUCCGCGCCGCAUUAGCUAGUUGGUAAGGUAACGGCCUACCAAGGCAACGAUACGUAGCCGACCUGAGAGGGUGAUCGGCCACACUGGAACUGAGACACGGUCCAGACUCCUACGGGAGGCAGCAGUAGGGAAUCUUCCGCAAUGGGCGAAAGCCUGACGGAGCAACGCCGCGUGAGUGAUGAAGGUCUUCGGAUCGUAAAACUCUGUUAUCAGGGAAGAACAAAUGUGUAAGUAACUGUGCACAUCUUGACGGUACCUGAUCAGAAAGCCACGGCUAACUACGUG
rnacentral:rRNA from 1 species